rnacentral:rRNA from 1 species
AUUGAACGCUGGCGGUAGGCCUAACACAUGCAAGUCGAACGGCAGCAGAGUACUAGCUUGCUCUUACGGGGGGCGAGUGGCGGACGGUUGCUGGAUACAUCGGUGUCUACGUUUUCUAGGGUGAGGACGUGGGGGCACUUACGCUAAUAGCGCAUACGGCCUACGGGUGGGAUCAUCGGAUCUUCCGACCUUGCACGAUCCGAUGUCGGAUUAGCUAGUUGGUGGGGUAAAGGCCUACCAAGGCGACGAUCCGUAACUGGUCUGAGAGGAUGAUCAGUCACACUGGAACUGAGACACGGUCCAGACUCCUACGGGAGGCAGCAGUGGGGAAUAUUGGACAAUGGGCGAAAGCCUGAUCCAGCCAUACCGCGUGUGUGAAGAAGGUCUUCGGGUUGUAAAGCACUUUUGUUGGGAAAGAAAAGCAGUAAGUUAAUACCUCGCUGUUUUGACGGUACCAAAAGAAUAAGCACCGGCUAACUUCGUG